AGAGUUUGAUCCUGGCUCAGAUUGAACGCUAGCGGCAUGCUUAACACAUGCAAGUCGAACGGUAACAGGCGGAGCUUGCUCUGCGCUGACGAGUGGCGGACGGGUGAGUAAUGCUUAGGAAUCUGCCCAGUAGCGGGGGACAACAUGUGGAAACGCAUGCUAAUACCGCAUACGCCCUACGGGGGAAAGCAGGGGAUCUUCGGACCUUGCACUAUUGGAUGAGCCUAAGUCAGAUUAGCUUGUUGGUGGGGUAAAAGCCUACCAAGGCGACGAUCUGUAGCUGGUCUGAGAGGACGAUCAGCCACACUGGAACUGAGACACGGUCCAGACUCCUACGGGAGGCAUCAGUGGGGAAUAUUGCACAAUGGGCGCAAGCCUGAUGCAGCAAUGCCGCGUGUGUGAAGAAGGCCUGCGGGUUGUAAAGCACUUUCAGUAAGGAGGAAAUCCUUAAGAUUAAUACUCUUGAGGCUUGACGUUACUUACAGAAGAAGCACCGGCUAACUCCGUGCCAGCAGCCGCGGUAAUACGGAGGGUGCGAGCGUUAAUCGGAAUUACUGGGCGUAAAGGGUGCGUAGGCGGUUAGUUAAGUUAGAUGUGAAAGCCCCGGGCUCAACCUGGGAACUGCUUUCAAACUGGCUUACUAGAGUUAGGUAGAGGAUAGUGGAAUUCCCAAUGUAGAGGUGAAAUUCGUAGAUAUUGGGAGGAACACCAGAAGCGAAGGCGAUUAUCUGGGCUUAUACUGACGCUGAGGCGCGAAAGUGUGGGGAGCAAACAGGAUUAGAUACCCUGGUAGUCCACACUGUAAACGAUGAGUGCUAGGUUUCGGGUCAUAGACUCGGAGCCGCAGCUAACGCGUUAAGCACUCCGCCUGGGGACUACGGUCGCAAGACUAAAACUCAAAGGAAUUGACGGGGACCCGCACAAGCGGUGGAGCAUGCGGUUUAAUUCGAUGCUACGCGAAAAACCUUACCAACCCUUGAAAUGUUAGAUCGCGUGAUUCAGAGAUGAAUCGCUUCGGUUCGGCCGGAUUUAACACAGGUGUUGCAUGGCUGUCGUCAGCUCGUGUCGUGAGAUGUUGGGUUAAGUCCCGCAACGAGCGAAACCCUCAUCCUUAUUUGCCAGCGCGUUAUGGCGGGGACUAUAUGGGAACUGCCGGUGAUAAGCCGGAGGAAGGUGGGGACGAGGUCAAGUCAUCAUGGCCCUUACGAGUUGGGCUACACGCGUACUACAAUGGCGGUAACAAUAAGCAGCUACGUCGUGAGGCGAGGCUAAUCUUAAAAAACCGUCUCAGUCCGGAUUGCUCUCUGCAACUCGAGAGCAUGAAGUAGGAAUCGCUAGUAAUCGCGGAUCAGCAUGCCGCGGUGAAUACGUUCUCGGGCCUUGUACACACUGCCCGUCACGCCAUGGGAGUUGGUUUUACCUGAAGCCGGUGGGCUGACCUUUUUGGAGGCAGCCGUCCACGGUAGGGCCAGCGACUGGGGUGAAGUCGUAACAAGGUAACC
rnacentral:rRNA from 1 species